GAGAGGUCGCGGCCCGGAAGAGACGGUGUCGGGACAAAGGUCAAAGACCCCACAGAGCUGUGAAAAAGAUGGCUCUGCAUUUGCUGCAUUGGAUGGCAUAGACAACGUUGGUAGAAAGCAGUGAGAAGGUCUGCCAGAUGGGGGCGCCAGUUUGUAAAUUGUAGAUAUACUUUAGAGAAGUUGGCCCGGUCAGAUGGGAAGAGAGCGGCUACUUCAUGCUUGAUGGUACGGAGAAAGCGUCUGGAGUAACCGCCGGGGUCUAAGGGCCUCAAAAAGGGUCCUUGUGGCCUCCUCUACAUGAGAAGAAGACUAUGGUGUCCAAGAAGGGGACCUGCUGGAGAUGAAGAGUGUGUUUGAGGGUAACACGGGGAUGGUGUGAAUUAAGGAUGUGAAUAAAGUGAUUGAACUCUGUUUCCGACUUGUCCCAUAGACCAAAAAUGUCAUCUAGAUAGCGAUAGUAUAGGAGCGGGCGUGACGGGCAUUUGAGGAGCGCUGAUUCUUCCCAGUCAGCCAAAUAGAUAUCUGCAUAGGCCGGUGAAUAUUUUCUGCCCAUAGCGCAACCGCAUGUCUGAAGAAAAAAAGAUUUAUCAAACAGGAAGUCAUUUCGGGUAAGGGUAAGUUGUAGAAACUGUAAAAUAAAAUAAUCAGGGCGAGAUGAGUCGGG
ensembl:lncRNA